GUUUUUGGCUUCCUCAUCAACAGUCCCUGCAAAGAACAUCGCUGAUGUGUCACCAUGGUAACCAUUAAGAUAAACGGUAACAUCAAUAUUGAUAAUAUCCCCAUCCUCAAGUGGACGUGAAUCGGGGAUUCCGUGGCAAAUGCACUCGUUUAUUGAUGUGCAUACACUCUUUGGAAAUCCACCAUAACCAAGAGGUGAUGGAUAUGCUCCAUUGUCAAUGAUCAUUUGGUGAACGGCUUGGUCAAUUUCAUCUGUCAUGAUGCCUGGCUUGACUAAUGUCCCAGCAUACUGAAGAACCUGUGCAGCAAGCCUUCCUGAAGCUCUCAUCUUUUCUAUUCCCUUUUUGUCAUGCACUUCGGAGCCACUACCAAUACCAGGUGGCUUCCUAGACUUCACAUAUGGAGGCCGUUGUAUUUGUUCUGGAACUGGUCGAGGAGGAGAAAUUUGGCCUGGUCUUAAACGUUUGCGAUUGGUGUUUGGAAGUUCAUCUACAUUUCUUCUAUUGAAUAACAAAUCCGUUAACCCAGAAAAUGUUCUUGAGCAUUGCAUCGACACAUGUUUAUUUCCUGGUUUGUAAUGGAAGAGUCGACGAAGUGAGUGAGGAUGGUUAAUGAAGCGGCAAUCGCCAAGAAAGGUAGAGACGAAGCCCACCAUUCUCUUCUCUUAUCACCUUCU
rnacentral:misc_RNA from 1 species